rnacentral:tRNA from 1 species
AGCAGGGUGGCGCAGUGGAAGCGUGCUGGGCCCAUAACCCAGAGGUCAAUGGAUCGAAACCAAUUCCUGCUA